rnacentral:rRNA from 1 species
CGCGAACGCACCUUCGGGUGUUAUUAGAGUGGCGGACGGGUGAGUAACACGUGGGAACAUGCCUUUCGGUACGGAACAACGCUUGGAAACGAGUGCUAAUACCGUAUACGCCCUUAGGGGGAAAGAUUUAUCGCCGAAAGAUUGGCCCGCGCUAGAUUAGCUAGUUGGUAAGGUAAUGGCUUACCAAGGCGACGAUCUAUAGCUGGUUUGAGAGGAUGAUCAGCCACACUGGGACUGAGACACGGCCCAGACUCCUACGGGAGGCAGCAGUGGGGAAUAUUGGACAAUGGGGGCAACCCUGAUCCAGCGAUGCCGCGUGAGUGAUGAAGGCCUUAGGGUUGUAAAACUCUUUCAGAUGGGAUGAUAAUGACAGUACCAUCAGAAGAAGCUCCGGCUAACUCCGUGCCAGCAGCCGCGGUAAUACGGAGGGAGCUAGCGUUGUUCGGAAUUACUGGGCGUAAAGCGCGCGUAGGCGGCUUUGCAAGUAGGGGGUGAAAUCCCGGGGCUUAACCCCGGAACUGCCCUCUAAACUGCAGAGCUAGAAUCCUGGAGAGGUGAGUGGAAUUCCUAGUGUAGAGGUGAAAUUCGUAGAUAUUCGGAAGAACACCAGUGGCGA